GAGCCAUUAGCUCAGUCGGUAGAGCAUCUGACUUUUAAUCAGAGGGUCGGAGGUUCGAAUCCUCCAUGGCUCACCA
rnacentral:tRNA from 44 species